rnacentral:rRNA from 1 species
CCAAUAGCGUAUAUUAAAGUUGUUGCGGUUAAAAAGCUCGUAGUUGGAUUUCUGUCGAGGAAAGCCGGUCCGCACUUCGUGCGUGUAUCUGGUUUGGCCUCGGCAUCCUCUCAAAAUACGUUGCUGCGCUUCAUUGCGUGGCGCGGAGUUUGGGACUUUUACUUUGAGGAAAUUAGAGUGUUCACGGCAGGCUUCCGCCUUGAAUACAUUAGCAUGGAAUAAUAAUAUAGGAUCUUGGCCCUAUUUUGUUGGUUUCUAGAGCUAAGAUAAUGAUUAAUAGGGACAGUUGGGGGCAUUCGUAUUAACGCGUCAGAGGUGGAAUUCUUGGAUUGCGUUACGACGAACUACUGCGAAAGCAUUUGCCAAGGAUGUUUUCAUUGA